UAGAGCGCGUGAGUGGUGAUUGGCGUGUGUGGGCGUGUCGGAUCCCUGCUCGGGCAGCGACGACAUCGUACCCGCGCCUCUUCAGUUGUUGGCCCAAGCGCCCGCUGGGCCUUGGCCGACGUCGGUUUCCUGUGCUGAAUACCUAUCGCGAAGGCAUUUUGUUGGCUUCAUCGUCCCUUUUCCGCCUCGCACUGCUGCGCCCGUCGGCGUCGUGGGGCGGGGCGGACCUCAAAGCGUGCGCUGUGUCCCGCACCCCGUGCGCUCCAAUACGGGUGCUCGGGUUGUCGGCCCACGGCGCACUGCUCGGUCCCUCGGAUGCGGAACACGAAGUGGGUACGAGGCCCUCGGCCUCCAUCUGCCCCGAAGAAAGCGUCCCACGCUUCGUGCGAACGACGGCCGCUCCGAUUUUGGUCGGGUCCUCGUGGCUCGGGUCAUGUCGGGCCGGCGUCGGUGAGGAAUGCUACCUGGUUGAUCCUGCCAGUAGUCAUAUGCUUGUCUC
rnacentral:misc_RNA from 1 species